rnacentral:rRNA from 1 species
GACGAACGCUGGCGGCGUGCCUAAUACAUGCAAGUUGAGCGCUGAAGGUUGGUACUUGUACCAACUGGAUGAGCAGCGAACGGGUGAGUAACGCGUGGGUAAUCUGCCUUUGAGCGGGGGACAACAUUUGGAAACGAAUGCUAAUACCGCAUAAAAACUUUAAACACAAGUUUUAAGUUUGAAAGAUGCAAUUGCAUCACUCAAAGAUGAUCCCGCGUUGUAUUAGCUAGUUGGUGAGGUAAAGGCUCACCAAGGCGAUGAUACAUAGCCGACCUGAGAGGGUGAUCGGCCAAAUUGGGACUGAGACACGGCCCAAAAUCCUACGGGAGGCAGCAGUAGGGAAUCUUCGGCAAUGGACGAAAGUCUGAACGAGCAACGCCGCGUGAGUGGAGAAGGGUUUCGGAUCGUAAAACUCUGUUGGUAGAGAAGAACGUUGGUGAGAGUGGAAAGCUCAUCAAGUGACGGUAACUACACAGAAAGGGACGGCUAACUACGUG